CGGGUCGCUCCCGAGUCAUAGUUAAGGCAAGCUAUGAGUGCAUGUAUUUACAUGUAUUGCAAAUCCACAUAUUCGUUGUGUUUGCACCACAACAAUAUGAGUGGGACACUAUAAUUUAUAAUAAUAGUGCGAAUACUGCGUUUUCUUACAUGGCAUGAGAUGUAAGAAAACUAACAGUUAGAUUUAAACAGAUGGAGAUACACAAAUGUUUGAAUCCCAGUAACAAAAAUCCUGGUAUCUCGGGUAUACAGUAGUGCAGAUACUGUAUUUUUAAUGCUCCAAUAGGAGUUGUUGGG
rnacentral:ncRNA from 1 species